rnacentral:lncRNA from 1 species
UGUCAAAAGUGACGGCGAAUGGAGGUAGGUGUCGUUGUUGUUAUGUUUCGAUGCGUCGGACACGAUUCUCGUCCGUGCGUAAUGGCAUGGUUACGGAUUCGAUCUGAAAAUUUCCUUUUCUAUUAUUCUGUUUGUUUUCGGUUGAAAAUUGUGUUGUUAAUGUGGUUGUUCUUAAUGAUGACGUUUGAAGAGAAUGAUGAGUCAAGGU